UCAAUCAUUUGAUAAUAUGUUUACUGGCUUCAGGGGGAUAAAAACACAACUAUUUUAUCAAUAGCAUUUUUUUUAAAUUUUGAGGCAGUGUCAAUGGCUUCCCCAAAGGGAACAAGCCCAAGUCUAAGGGAGUUUUGGACUAAGAUGAUGAAUAUGUUCCCUAUAUUAGCACAGUUUCUUGAGGAAAUCAAUGUAUAGUCAUUUAAUAUGAAUUUCAGUUAACUUGGUGGACCUUAUAACUGUUAAGGAUUUUUGUGGGGGUUUUUUGUACCUUCUUUUUAAAAUUGAGAGUCUCUUCUAGUGCUAACAUUGUGUGAUUCUAGGAUCCCAUAGUGUCAAUGAGGUCCAGGAAAGUAAUACAGAUUUUUCUAGGUGACCUAGGCCUGUCUAAUUGAAGCUGGGAGUGCCCAUUUUCUAGAUAGCUCUGUCUCACAGUGGCAUAACUGUCACUGAGUGGAAUCUAAGGCAGACUCACUUCCUAACAACAAACAGGAUUAUUAGGAAUUUUCUGGAGCAUUCUGCUUCUGUUCCCUUUCCUCUCAGUUUCCUCAUUCCCUUUAUUAGUC
rnacentral:lncRNA from 1 species